GCGCACACGGAGUCAAAUUCCAUAUGCACCAUGUUUACAGUGAAUGUGUGUGAAACUGUUCUGUACAAUUGAACCGUGACCGUGGCUGUUGUAAAAUUGAUUGCAAUUGUCAUACUUCAUUGUGCAAUGGAGCUAAAUAUUGGGUUAAUUUAAAAUAACCAUCCGACGAUUACCCGGGGUUGUCAAUUUUGAACAUGUUGAUUAAUGGUGUGCCAAGACGUGCUGUAAAUGGCAUCCCCAGAAUUCUUGCUAUAUGCCUCGGCAAGUACUCGCCAAAAAAGUUUAAACUUGUUUUGCUGGUUGAAACAGACAUUGCCAUGAAUGUUUAGCUCAACGUAAUUGGUUGAUUUGGUGUUGUGACAUUAACUAAAACAAGCGUGAUAUAGCACAUGAUUUCUUUUAAUUAGAACAACACUUCAUUUCAUUUAAACAGAAUUGUACAUGUACCUGAUUUCAUUGAAUUAGAACAGCACUUUAUUUCAUUUAAACAGAAGGUACCUUAUUUCAUUUAAUUAGAAUAACACUUUAUUUCCCUCAAUUAGAAUGGUACAUGAUUUCAAUUAAGGUAGCUCCAUCACAGAUGACGUCAUAGGUUUUUUGCAAAAUCUUCAAUCAAUUAGAUUUUAUACAUGAUAAAAUAUGUCUUCUGUAGGAUUUUUAUUUAUGAGUACAUUUGUACAAUAAAAAAAAUGGUACGCUAUUUCAUACAGAAAAAUCUUAUAUUUUCUAUGAAUAUUCAAUUAUCAAUGUUACAAAAUGUUGUCAGGACAAGAAUUUUUAUGCAGAUAUUUCUCAAUUGUAUGUCUUUUAUAUGUUAAUUUCCCAGAUAUUCACAAUUAAGAUAAAAGCAAAACUUUUGUCAUUUUAACCAGUUUUAUAUGCUUUUUAUUAUGCUGUUUAACGAAAAUGUGUGGUUUUCUGGUGUUGACAUAUACUUCUGCAUAUUUAUGUAUGUCUGACACCUAUAAAACAAUGGCAAUAUA